rnacentral:rRNA from 1 species
CCUACGGGAGGCAGCAGCAAGGAAUUUUCGGCAAUGGGCGCAAGCCUGMCCGAGCAACGCCGCGUGGAGGACGACGGCCUUCGGGUUGUAAACUCCUUUUGCGGGGGACGAUUGUGACUGUACCCCGCGAAUCAGGCUCGGCUAACUCUGUGCCAGCAGCCGCGGUAAGACAGAGGAGCCAAGCGUUGUCCGGAUUGACUGGGCGUAAAGCGCACGCAGGCGGCUGGGCACGUGGGGUGUGAAACCUGGCGGCUUAACUGCCAGACGCCAUCCCAUACGGCCCGGCUCGAGGCAGGCAGAGGUUCGUGGAAUUGCCGGUGUAGUGGUGAAAUGCGUAGAGAUCGGCAGGAACACCAAGGGCGAAAGCAGCGAACUGGGCCUGUUCUGACGCUCAGGUGCGAAAGCGUGGGGAGCGAACCGGAUUAGAUACCCGGGUAGUCCACGCCGUAAACGAUGAAUACUCGGCAUCUUUCGACCGAUUUUCGGCCGAGGGGUGCCCCAGCUAACGCGAUAAGUAUUCCGCCUGGGAACUACGAGCGCAAGCUUAAAACUCAAAGGAAUUGACGG